rnacentral:rRNA from 1 species
AGUGAACGCUGGCGGUAGGCCUAACACAUGCAAGUCGAACGGCAGCACAGUAAGAGCUUGCUCUUACGGGUGGCGAGUGGCGGACGGGUGAGGAAUACAUCGUAAUCUACUUUUUCGUGGGGGAUAACGUAGGGAAACUUACGCUAAUACCGCAUACGACCUACGGGUGAAAGCAGGGGAUCUUCGGACCUUGCGCGAUUGAAUGAGCCGAUGUCGGAUUAGCUAGUUGGCGGGGUAAAUGCCCACCAAGGCGACGAUCCGUAGCUGGUCUGAGAGGAUGAUCAGCCACACUGGAACUGAGACACGGUCCAGACUCCUACGGGAGGCAGCAGUGGGGAAUAUUGGACAAUGGGCGCAAGCCUGAUCCAGCCAGACCGCGUGGGUGAAGAAGGCCUUCGGGUUGUAAAGCCCUUUUGUUGGGAAAGAAAAGCAGCAGGUUAAUACCCCGCUGUUCUGACGGUACCGAAAGAAUAAGCACCGGCUAACUUCGUG